rnacentral:rRNA from 1 species
UGGGGAAUAUUGGGGCAAAUGGGACGCAAGUCUGACCCAGCAACGCCGCGUGAAGGAAGAAGGCUUUCGGGUUGUAAACUUCUUUGACAGGGGAAGAGCAGAAGACGGUACCCUGAAAACAAGCCACGGCUAACUACGUGCCAGCAGCCGCGGUAAUACGUAGGUGGCGAGCGUUGUCCGGAUUUACUGGGUGUAAAGGGCGUGUAGCCGGGUUGGCAAGUCAGAUGUGAAAUCUAGGGGCUCAACCCCUAAACUGCAUUUGAAACUGUUGAUCUUGAGUAUCGGAGAGGUAACCGGAAUUCCUUGUGUAGCGGUGAAAUGCGUAGAUAUA